UAGUUGUGAGUGAGGACAAAGUUCAGCCACUAGGUUAGCUGUGAUGUUAUCGGGGAUACUAUUCUUGAUGGCUUGUAAUCCAUCUUUGUGAAUCCAUUUCCCU